rnacentral:rRNA from 1 species
UACAGAGGUCUCAAGCGUUGUUCGGAUUCAUUGGGCGUAAAGGGCGCGUAGGUGGCUCUGUAAGUCGGGUGUGAAAUUUCGGAGCUUAGCUCCGAAACUGCAUUCGAUACUGCGUUGCUUGAGGACUGGAGAGGAGACUGGAAUUCAUGGUGUAGCAGUGAAAUGCGUAGAGAUCAUGAGGAAGACCAGUGGCGAAGGCGGGUCUCUGGACAGUUCCUGACACUGAGGCACGAAGGCCAGGGGAGCAAACGGG